rnacentral:rRNA from 1 species
UACGUAGGGGGCAAGCGUUGUCCGGAUUUAUUGGGCGUAAAGAGCGUGUAGGCGGCCAAGCAGGUCCGCUGUGAAAACGCGAGGCUCAACCUCGCGCCUGCAGUGGGUACGGGCAGACUAGAGUGCGGUAGGGAGAUUUGGAAUUUCCGCGUGUAGCAGUGAAAUGCGUAGAUAUGCGGAGGAACACCGAUGGCGAAGGCAAUCCCUGGGCCUGCCACUGACGCUCAUGCACGAA